GGGCGUUGAAGGAAAAGUCUCCUAUCUACCCUCUCAGGCUUUUUCAUUACUGAAUAAUGGAGGAAGGGAAGAAACUUUCUGCCUUUCUGCUUACCCCUGUACGAAUUCACAGGAACACAGCUGCCAAAAGUGCAGGCAAAGAACCCUGGCUGAGCUGUCAUCAAAAGGAGUUGCUUAAGAAAACCCAUUGAAGACCACCGUUCUGAGGCACUGAGGGCCAGAGGAACACGAGUGGACAUGACUUCAAGAAGCCCCAUGUAAGUUCAGGUGUGGGCACGUUCACAGUGAUGCAUGGUUCACCCUUGCCUCAUCUAAUGUGAAACAUCCAUUUGAGUUGAGAUCUGGCUAACAACAGACAGGGAGACCAUAACCUGUGGGUAGAAUGGUGGCUUUGAGCAUGAUCAUCGUCUGAUAUUUAAAAAAAGAUAAUUCCUAGUCUCAGCAUAGAAGAUGUCAUUACAACUGUUUUAAUGUGGUCAUAAAACACAGACAAGCUUUGAAGGCUCAUAAUUCUUUCAUAGAGAUAUUGUUUAAAUAUUUAAUGCCCACAUUAAUGAUAUUGUAAUCCUUUUGGAAUAUGUGAAUUUGCACUCAUUUGCAUAAAUUUUGACUU